CAUCCGUCAAGAAAUAUAAACAGAAGUAAAAUCUUGCGCAAUAGAUUUCGAAAAGCUAGCUCUUGUGUUGUCAAAUCGGAUAGGGAAAAGCUUUCGGGGUAAAAUGCAAAUAUGGAUAUCAAGGAACUAUUCUAUGCAUGUAGAGCAGGAGAUGUCACGAAAGUGCAAUAUUUGUUCGAGCAGAACGAAGUGGAAUUAAAUGUAAUUGACAAGUGGGACUGUUCUCCACUGUACUAUGCCUGUUUAUGUGGACAUGAAGAACUUGUCUAGUAUCUGUUGGAAAAUGGAGCUCGGUGUGAGGCUAACACCUUUGAUGGCGAGCGUUGUUUGUAUGGAGCUCUAACUGAUAAGAUUCGGAACCUUCUCAGGCAAUACAAUGUCAUCUCCUCUAAACAGCUGCGAAGAGACCUAUAUGAGGAGUUCCUCCGGAAACUGUUGGAGGAUGGUGUUUACAGUGAUGUGACAUUCUAUGUACAUGAUAAGAUGUUCCAAGUCCACCGCUGUAUACUGGCAGCUAGAUGUGAAUACUUCGCCACCAUGUUCAAAACUAGAUGGCUGGGUCGGCGUGUCAUCACACUUAAACAUGCUCUGGUUGUACCUGUUGCCUUCAAGUCAAUCCUACA